CAAAGAGGAGCUGGUUCUAAAAUGCUUCCCCUGCUAAAAAGUGGUAAUGAUUUAGCUUUUUGAAGUGCAACAGCUGGCUCCUUUUGUCGGUAGUGGCUUUUUGUUCACCUUCAAGAACGCCAAUGGCGGGUCACUGAAAUCAGAUGGGGCGAUAAACGAAAAGAGUCACCUCCAGUCACCUUAGGGUUUACCAAGAAAGGGUAAAACUGUUGACAACAAAAAGUUAUCUGCAAGCAUCAGAGAAGCAACAAUCUGCAUACCUGACAGGCUGUUGAUGCACAUUUGUUUUCAAAUUAAAAUGGCUACUUAUAAAUUUGCUUAUGAAGCACAAAAAAAUGGCAUUACAGAAGGCAGCGGCUUGAGGGAUAAAACUGCGGUUUUCGAAUGAUGUCGAUCAGAAAUAAACUAGCCAAGCACUAAAGCGCUAGAGAGAUCUCAUGCAGUCAUGCACUUCUUCACAGAAUUCACUGAGAAUGCACAUGCUAGAGAUGGGAGGGAGGAGGGGGUGAAAGUGCUGCAGUUUUUUCUGCCCGUUUUUAGAGCAGCGACAGCUCCUCGUGUCAGCAUGAUGUCUAUCCCUGCCUAAAUGUAAGCCGUGAGUAUGCUUUCUUCACCCGGCUCCACCCCUCCCGCUUUACCACUCUUGUUCCUUCUCCACAACACUCGUUCACUAUCCCCCCACCCACACCCCCCUCUUCGUCAGAGAAGCUGAAUCAGCGAGUCGGGCAUGCGAUGGCUGCAGCAGCUGGAGAACUCCGGAGGUCAUUAUGGCUCUUCACACACAGGAGAGAAGAAAGAGGGAGGAGCAGAGAGCGGAGGAAACUGAGCUGACAGGUAAUAUAUGCUCCCUGUGCCUUCCUCCCUCCGGACGGGAGUUUGCCCCCCAUGCCGGCUGGUCCGCACUGACGUCUCUGCUUUUUUCUUCUCCGUUCCGGAUGCACUGGGGGUUAAGCGCGUGGCCGGUCAGCCACGGUGUGCGGUGUGGUCGCUUAGAGGGAGUGGAAUUUACAGCUCUGCAGCAGCAUGAUGAGAAAAACUACUUCUCUGGGAACACCUUGUGAAAUAAUUGCUGGUCAGGCAGCAGGCUGCUGCAGCACAGCACUCUCUGGUUCAUUACCUCCUCGUGGCUGCAGCACCAUAGACAUCUAAAAGACGGACUCCGAAACUCAGUGUCCCUGAAACGUGCAGCUUUUAUCUUGGAUCUUUCACUCUGAGGCACUUUCAGACGGAAUACAACUCUAUCGGGAUGGUUACACACUUUGCCAACACUCAAUUUUCCAGUGGCCAGCCGUAAUUACUGGAACCAUGUUUGGUGAUUCAAGACAGCGGGGGGACAGGUGUACGCUAGCCAUGAAGGUUCAUUGGUGUCACAGUGGGACGCAAGUUUCAGGCCAGGUGGGGGGUGAAUCGAAUUGAUGGAAAAACAGAUGUGCUGGCAUAUUAAAUCUCCAGGGAGGGCGGUUCGGUGGCUGCUGGAUAUGUGUGUCAGUGAGUGAACCCACAACACCCAGGGUAGUAACCCAGUUUCUCUCUGUCUCUCUGCAUGCUUUCCAAUCACUAGGCAGGGGCAGGGCUGUAGUGCUGCAGUGCCAUCUCCCCCUCUCAACACACUCAUCCCUAAAUCUUUACUAACACUAUGGCGCCACAAGAGUCCAGCCAUACCUCGCCAUCAUAUCUAACCCCGUCAAGCACCACAAACUCAUCCAGGAUUUCCACCCCUGCCCAGAAUAGCCUGUCUAAGUGUCCUUCUGUUAUGUUUCCACCCCUGCACCUCUCCUUUUGGCCUGGUAUUGGAUAGGCUCCUGAGAGGAGGGGGAUGAGACAGGGCGGUGUUGACUUGUGGAAUGUGUGGAGCUGGAGCAAAGAUUCAUUAGAGAGCUACUGAACAUUUCAUGCUGCCAUGCAAACAGUUAUUGAUCUCUAGCACACAGCAUUCGAGUUCUAGAGAAGCUUCUAGAAUAAACACACCCAGGUCAGCUCUGGGGGCAAAAAAAAGGGAAUAUGGGGAUUUCGCAGGAAAAAAGAAG